CCGCGGCGGGGCUCCUUUCUUCAUGGCUCCUCUGCUCCCUCCCGCCCAGAGUCUGCAGCCACCGCCUCCAGGCGCGUCCUUUCCACCCACCGUGCCCCCUCUCAGCGGCAGGUGAAGGGGGAGAACAGUAAGCAUUGUCUUUGACUCAAGGAAGCUGCCUUGCUUAGAGAAAUAUAAGAUAUUAUACUCCCUUUGGUGACAGACAACUGAAUAAUACGAAGCUUGAAGCCCAGCCAUCUUGUUUCAAGUUCAGUUGAAGUCCAUAAUAUUUCGGAGAUAAUUUGCUACUCAGUCUGGACCCUCAUAGUGAAUUACGUCUGCCUAUCAACUUUGCAAUUACAGACCCACAAUUUUAUCAACCCACCUAUGAAUGAAUGUACUCUCAAGAGAGAGAGAUUACAAGCAAGGAAGAGAAGCAGAGAGAGAGAGAGAGAGAGAGAGAGAGAGAGAGAGAGCCUGAGACAGGGCUAAAUUCCAUGACCCUGGGAUCAUGACAUGAGCCAAAAUCAAGAGUCAGACAUUCAACCAACUGAGCCACUCAGGCACCCCUGGAAAAAUGGUCUUACAAAUCAGUCGAAGCUGUGAAUGUACAAAGUGGCCACUCCAGGAAUUAGCAAACAUAUGACCAUGGCAGCAAUUGCAGAGACAAUAUCCAACCAUCUAUGAGGGAAACCCAUGAGGCUUCAAGAUUUAAAGUCAGUAAGCUCAACAGACCAUGACAAGACUUGAAUCUUCUUGAUAAAUACAAAAACACAUUAAGAAGCUGUUUGAUGGGGCUGUGUCGGGAAUGGCUUUGAGCGAAACUUUGAUUAUCUAAGACAUCUAAUUCCUAAACAAAUAAAAAUAUCUUUUAUGUAUCUCAAUAUUUUGAAACAUUGUAUUAUAAAGAUAGCUUAGGAACAUGGUGAAAGAUAUUUUCAGAGUCAUGUAGCCAUAUCUUUAAUUACUGGUAUUCUGUAUAACACUAUGUAUCACUAUCUAAUGAUUUGAUGUUAUGCAAGUUUUGGUAUCAUUAUUUUUCUACAAGAUUGGAUAACCAGUAUGUGACUUUUGAUCUUAACAAAUAAUUUAAAUAACUUUUCUAUAAUAUCGUAUAAUUAUGCUUACAAAAUCACACAUGAUGUAUUAUGGAUGAGGCAACACACAUUUUGAGGCAACACACAUUUUGCUGUAAAUUCUUAUUAAUAUAAUAGAAGUCACAGUAAUUUGAAAUAAAAAUUAAUAUCUCUACCCAAAGAUAAUUAAUAAGAUUUUUUUACUUAUAAUAAUUAAUUUUGUAUGUCUUUCAAAGUACAGUUAUUUCAUUUCAGAUAAAAUGGCCAAAAAGGCAGUUUAAUCACAUAAUUAAGUAAAGAAUGGGGUUUGUGAAUCAAGCAACACGAGCUAACAAGAAUCUAAACUAUUUUGUGACCCGCCUCCCCAUCUUGCCUCUCUGGAGAUUUCAGAUAACGUCUGUCUGCUAAAUUUGUACUGGAAAUCCUCACAAUUAGAUGACAUAAGGAAUAUUCUAAGUAAUGUGAAUUAUCUUUGUCACCAUAGAUUCUAUCUGCUUCUAGAACAUAUAGACACUAGAAUAGACUGAUCAUGGCAAAUUCAGCUAUGGAAUGGCCAAAAAAACAAAGAAACCAAAAACCUUCCACACAGAAAUAAAACCAUACUGAAGCCAAAAUAAAACUGAAAAAGACAGUAACAUUCGAUUUUGAAAAACUAUUGAGCAUUUCCUCUUAGGUAGUCAUUGCGUUUACAAGGCCACCAGAGUGCUACUGGCUCCAUUAUCUUAAUUUUCUCAUAGCAAUGAUUCAUUCACAUUUCCUUGUUCAAUCCUCUUAGAUGAAUGGCAUGAACCAGAGAGAUGCCCUGAAGUGUGAUUAGGAAAACUUUAGCCCACAAAACAUAGUUAGACAUUUCUUGAAGGAUUGAACUCAUGUCUUCUGGUCUCCUUAAUAUCAGGUUCCAAAGAACCUUCAUAACUGGCCAAAUAUUACCAUUCUACAAAGUUAAUUAAGCUAUUAUAUCCUUCAAGACCUUAAAAGGACUCUUUAUGGCUUCAACCCUCAAAGUCCUCUAUAUUUAAUAACAAAUUUUAAGAACAUUGUGUGCACGGAAAUUCCCAUUUAAUUCUGACAAGUGAGACACUUCAUUCUAGGUUCGUGCCAGAUAAAAGGCAGAUCACAAUAAGAAAUGUUUUUCUUUCAGAGGAAA